rnacentral:rRNA from 1 species
GCUUGCUACCUGACCUAGCGGCGGACGGGUGAGUAAUGCUUAGGAAUCUGCCUAUUAAUGGGGGACAACAUCUCGAAAGGGAUGCUAAUACCGCAUACGCCCUACGGGGGAAAGCAGGGGAUCACUUGUGACCUUGCGUUAAUAGAUGAGCCUAAGUCGGAUUAGCUAGUUGGUGGGGUAAAGGCCUACCAAGGCGACGAUCUGUAGCGGGUCUGAGAGGAUGAUCCGCCACACUGGGACUGAGACACGGCCCAGACUCCUACGGGAGGCAGCAGUGGGGAAUAUUGGACAAUGGGGGGAACCCUGAUCCAGCCAUGCCGCGUGUGUGAAGAAGGCCUUAUGGUUGUAAAGCACUUUAAGCGAGGAGGAGGCUCUCUUGGUUAAUACCCAAGAUGAGUGGACGUUACUCGCAGAAUAAGCACCGGCUAACUCUGUGCCAGCAGCCGCGGUAAUACAGAGGGUGCGAGCGUUAAUCGGAUUUACUGGGCGUAAAGCGUGCGUAGGCGGCUUUUUAAGUCGGAUGUGAAAUCCCCGAGCUUAACUUGGGAAUUGCAUUCGAUACUGGGAAGCUAGAGUAUGGGAGAGGAUGGUAGAAUUCCAGGUGUAGCGGUGAAAUGCGUAGAGAUCUGGAGGAAUACCGAUGGCGAAGGCAGCCAUCUGGCCUAAUACUGACGCUGAGGUACGAAAGCAUGGGGAGCAAACAGGAUUAGAUACCCUGGUAGUCCAUGCCGUAAACGAUGUCUACUAGCCGUUGGGGCCUUUGAGGCUUUAGUGGCGCAGCUAACGCGAUAAGUAGACCGCCUGGGGAGUACGGUCGCAAGACUAAAACUCAAAUGAAUUGACGGGGGCCCGCACAAGCGGUGGAGCAUGUGGUUUAAUUCGAUGCAACGCGAAGAACCUUACCUGGUCUUGACAUAGUAAGAACUUUCCAGAGAUGGAUUGGUGCCUUCGGGAACUUACAUACAGGUGCUGCAUGGCUGUCGUCAGCUCGUGUCGUGAGAUGUUGGGUUAAGUCCCGCAACGAGCGCAACCCUUUUCCUUAUUUGCCAGCACUUCGGGUGGGAACUUUAAGGAUACUGCCAGUGACAAACUGGAGGAAGGCGGGGACGACGUCAAGUCAUCAUGGCCCUUACGACCAGGGCUACACACGUGCUACAAUGGUCGGUACAAAGGGUUGCUACCUAGCGAUAGGAUGCUAAUCUCAAAAAGCCGAUCGUAGUCCGGAUUGGAGUCUGCAACUCGACUCCAUGAAGUCG